GAUGAACGCUAGCGGCAGGCCUAACACAUGCAAGUCGAGGGAGAGGUUACCUUCGGGUAACCAAAACCGGCGCACGGGUGCGUAACGCGUAUACAAUCUGCCUUUCACAUAGGGAUAGCCCGAAGAAAUUUGGAUUAAUACCUAAUGGUAUAUAAGAGCGGCAUCGUUUUUAUAUUAAAGCUACGGUGGUGAAAGAUGAGUAUGCGUUCUAUUAGCUAGUUGGAGAGGUAACGGCUCCCCAAGGCGACGAUAGAUAGGGGUUCUGAGAGGGAUGUCCCCCACAUUGGUACUGAGAUACGGACCAGACUCCUACGGGAGGCAGCAGUGAGGAAUAUUGGACAAUGGUCGGAAGACUGAUCCAGCCAUGCCGCGUGCAGGAUGAAGGUCCUAUGGAUUGUAAACUGCUUUUGUAAGGGAAGAAUAAGGAGUACGUGUACUUUGAUGACGGUACCUUACGAAUAAGCAUCGGCUAACUCCGUGCCAGCAGCCGCGGUAAUACGGAGGAUGCGAGCGUUAUCCGGAAUCAUUGGGUUUAAAGGGUCCGUAGGCGGGCUGAUAAGUCAGAGGUGAAAGCGCUUAGCUCAACUAAGCAACUGCCUUUGAAACUGUCAGUCUUGAAUGAUUGUGAAGUAGUUGGAAUGUGUAGUGUAGCGGUGAAAUGCUUAGAUAUUACACAGAACACCGAUAGCGAAGGCAUAUUACUAACAAUUUAUUGACGCUGAUGGACGAAAGCGUGGGGAGCGAACAGG
rnacentral:rRNA from 1 species